UACGUAGGACACGACGUUGUCCGGAAUCAUUGGGCGUAAAGCGCGCGUAGGUGGCCAUUUAAGUCCGCUGUGAAAGUCAGAGCUCAACCUUUGAAAGCCGGUGGAUACUGGAUGGCUAGAGUACGGAAGAGGCGAGUGGAAUUCCUGGUGUAGCGGUGGAAUGCGCAGAUAUCAGGAGGAACACCAAUAGCGAAGGCAGCUCGCUGGGACGUUACUGACACUAAGGCGCGAAAGCGUGGGGAGCGAACAGG
rnacentral:rRNA from 1 species